CCAAAGGCUCUUUUAAGAGCCACUUAAAUAAUUUUAGAGUAGCGU
rfam:Heterocephalus glaber contig162316, whole genome shotgun sequence.